rnacentral:rRNA from 1 species
UUCAGCUUUCGACGGUAGGGUAUUGGCCUACCGUGGCAGUGACGGGUAACGGGGAAUUAGGGUUCGAUUCCGGAGAGGGAGCCUGAGAAACGGCUACCACAUCUAAGGAAGGCAGCAGGCGCGCAAAUUACCCAAUGAAAACAGUUUCGAGGUAGUGACGAGAAAUAACAAUACAGGGCAUUUUAUGCUUUGUAAUUGGAAUGAUGGGAAUGUAAAACCCUCUCAGAGUAACAAUUGGAGGGCAAGUCUGGUGCCAGCAGCCGCGGUAAUUCCAGCUCCAAUAGUGUAUAUUAGAGUUGUUGCAGUUAAAAAGCUCGUAGUUGGAUUUCUGUUGUGAUUGUCCGGUAUCGCCUGUAUUGGUGUUUACCUUGGAUGAAUCAUGGCAUACUUCUGGUAUCCCAUGAAUGCUUAAUUGCGUUGGUGGGUUUUCCGGAACUUUUACUUUGAGAAAAAUAGAGUGUUUCAAGCAGGCUUGUAGCCUUGAAUACUGCAGCAUGGAAUAAUAAGAUAGGACCUUGGUUCUAUUUUGUUGGCUUCUAGGACUAAGGUAAUGAUUAAUAGGGACAGUUGGGGGCAUUCGUAUUUAACUGUCAGAGGUGAUUUC